rnacentral:rRNA from 1 species
UAAGUGAAGAGUUUGAUCCUGGCUCAGAUUGAACGCUGGCGGCAUGCCUAACACAUGCAAGUCGAACGGCAGCACAGGUAGCAAUACCGGGUGGCGAGUGGCGGACGGGUGAGUAAUGCAUCGGGACCUGCCCAGACGUGGGGGAUAACGUAGGGAAACUUACGCUAAUACCGCAUACGUCCUACGGGAGAAAGCGGGGGAUCGAAAGACCUCGCGCGGUUGGAUGGACCGAUGUUCGAUUAGCUAGUUGGCGGGGUAAAGGCCCACCAAGGCGACGAUCGAUAGCUGGUCUGAGAGGAUGAUCAGCCACACUGGGACUGAGACACGGCCCAGACUCCUACGGGAGGCAGCAGUGGGGAAUAUUGGAC